GAUGAACGCUGGCGGCGUGCUUAACACAUGCAAGUCGAACGGUGAAGCAGGAGCUUGCUCCUGUGGAUCAGUGGCGAACGGGUGAGUAACACGUGAGCAAUCUGCCCUGGACUCUGGGAUAAGCGUUGGAAACGACGUCUAAUACCGGAUACGAGGCGUGGGGGCAUCCCCAACGCCUGGAAAGAACUUCGGUCCAGGAUGAGCUCGCGGCCUAUCAGCUAGUUGGUGAGGUAACGGCUCACCAAGGCGACGACGGGUAGCCGGCCUGAGAGGGUGACCGGCCACACUGGGACUGAGACACGGCCCAGACUCCUACGGGAGGCAGCAGUGGGGAAUAUUGCACAAUGGGCGCAAGCCUGAUGCAGCAACGCCGCGUGAGGGACGACGGCCUUCGGGUUGUAAACCUCUUUUAGCAGGGAAGAAGCGAAAGUGACGGUACCUGCAGAAGAAGCACCGGCUAACUACGUGCCAGCAGCCGCGGUAA
rnacentral:rRNA from 1 species